rnacentral:misc_RNA from 1 species
AACCUCACCCCAUUUAGGUUUUUGCCUGAGUGGUCGGUGGAUUGGGUGUUGCCGAUAUACUGGCUCGCCUGAAAAGCAUAAGCGCCUUGGAUGUAAUACGUUUCAUCCUUCUGGGUGGCUGAUAACCCCACAUAUCUCAUG